rnacentral:rRNA from 1 species
CCUACGGGAGGCAGCAGUAGGGAAUAUUGCUCAAUGGGCGUAAGCCUGAACCAGCCAAGUCGCGUGAGGGAUGAAGGUUCUAUGGAUCGUAAACCUCUUUUAUAAGGGAAUAAAGUGUGGGACGUGUCCUGUUUUGUAUGUACCUUAUGAAUAAGGAUCGGCUAACUCCGUGCCAGCAGCCGCGGUAAUACGGAGGAUCCGAGCGUUAUCCGGAUUUAUUGGGUUUAAAGGGUGCGUAGGCGGCCUUUUAAGUCAGCGGUGAAAGUCUGUGGCUCAACCAUAGAAUUGCCGUUGAAACUGGGAGGCUUGAGUAUGUUUGAGGCAGGCGGAAUGCGUGGUGUAGCGGUGAAAUGCUUAGAUAUCACGCAGAACCCCGAUUGUGAAGGCAGCCUGCCAAGCCAUGACUGACGCUGAUGCACGAAAGCGUGGGGAUCAAACAGGAUUAGAUACCCCGGUAGUC